rnacentral:rRNA from 1 species
UACGUAGGGGGCAAGCGUUGUCCGGAAUCAUUGGGCGUAAAGCGCGUGUAGGCGGCCAGAAAAGUCCGCUGUGAAAACUCGAGGCUCAACUUCGAGCUGUCGGUGGAAACUUUCUGGCUAGAGUCCGGAAGAGGAGAAUGGAAUUCCUGGUGUAGCGGUGAAAUGCGCAGAUAUCAGGAAGAACACCCGUGGCGAAGGCGGUUCUCUGGGCCAGUACUGACGCUGAGGAGCGAAAGCGUGGGGAGCAAACAGG